AGGUCAAGUUUGAGAAGAGAAAUUGAUCCAAGGAGAAUAGUGCAUUUGAAUCCUGUAAAAAUGAAAUUAGGGUCAAGCUAUGUCUGAAUUAGCGACUUGAAAGAGGAAGUGGGGCAGCGGAUCUUGCAAAUGUCUUUGGCAGUUUUGCGGCUCUCCGUCUGUAAGAUCCCGGCCACGGUUAACACACUGAGGAACCAAACGCCGCUCAGCAUCUUUAGGCACCGUCGGUGUCAGUUCAGAUCUCCUCGUCAGGGGCAAGCUAGGCCCAGGGAUUGUUGGCUGUUUAUGUGCUCGGAAUUCCAGGAGCCCGUAUCCGCUGUAUUGCAACUCAAAGGCAGGGGCCGAACCAUCUUGGCAUCUCUCCAGGAAGUCAGAGGUCCGAGAUGGGUCUCCCUGGCUGCAGUCAAGGUGUCGGCUGGGCUGUGUUCCCUCUAAUGGCCGUAGGGGAUGAUCCACUUCUGUAUUUCUUGGCUCACGGCCCCUUGCUCCGUUUUGGAAGCCAGCACAGCACGACCUCUCUAGAGGCUGCCUCCCUCUUCCGCCUUGAGGACUCUUACAGUGACGUUGGGCCCAUCCAGAUAAUCCUGCAUGAUCGCCUCAUCUCAAGCUUCUAGAGGCCAUCUGUGUUCCUUGGCUCAUGGCCCCUUCUUCCAUCUGCAAAGCCAGCAACAUGUGGUUGAAUCAUUCUCACGCUGAAGUGUUAUAACCUGCUUCUGGCAGCACAUCUCCUCCCUUGGCUCUUGCUCUCCUACCGCCUUGUACUUCUUAGGACCUUUGUGUUGACAUUGGAUCUGCCCAGGUCAUGCAGGAUAGUGCUCUCAUCUCAAGAUCAGGUGAUCAGCAGCCUUAAUUCCCUUUGCCAUACAACCUACUUAUGGAAUCUGGGAAUUAGGACCUGGACCUAUGUUCUGCCCAUGCCCUUUAA